rnacentral:rRNA from 1 species
GAUUAUGACGUACUUGUACUGAUUGAGAUUUUAACACGAAGUGAGUGGCGAACGGGUGAGUAACACGUGGGUAACCUGCCCAGAAGUAGGGGAUAACACCUGGAAACAGAUGCUAAUACCGUAUAACAGAGAAAACCGCAUGGUUUUCUUUUAAAAGAUGGCUCUGCUAUCACUUCUGGAUGGACCCGCGGCGUAUUAGCUAGUUGGUGAGGUAAAGGCUCACCAAGGCAGUGAUACGUAGCCGACCUGAGAGGGUAAUCGGCCACAUUGGGACUGAGACACGGCCCAGACUCCUACGGGAGGCAGCAGUAGGGAAUCUUCCACAAUGGACGCAAGUCUGAUGGAGCAACGCCGCGUGAGUGAAGAAGGGUUUCGGCUCGUAAAGCUCUGUUGUUAAAGAAGAACGUGGGUAAGAGUAACUGUUUACCCAGUGACGGUAUUUAACCAGAAAGCCACGGCUAACUACGUGCCAGCAGCCGCGGUAAUACGUAGGUGGCAAGCGUUAUCCGGAUUUAUUGGGCGUAAAGCGAGCGCAGGCGGUCUUUUAAGUCUAAUGUGAAAGCCUUCGGCUCAACCGAAGAAGUGCAUUGGAAACUGGGAGACUUGAGUGCAGAAGAGGACAGUGGAACUCCAUGUGUAGCGGUGAAAUGCGUAGAUAUAUGGAAGAACACCAGUGGCGAAGGCGGCUGUCUGGUCUGCAACUGACGCUGAGGCUCGAAAGCAUGGGUAGCGAACAGGAUUAGAUACCCUGGUAGUCCAUGCCGUAAACGAUGAUUACUAAGUGUUGGAGGGUUUCCGCCCUUCAGUGCUGCAGCUAACGCAUUAAGUAAUCCGCCUGGGGAGUACGACCGCAAGGUUGAAACUCAAAAGAAUUGACGGGGGCCCGCACAAGCGGUGGAGCAUGUGGUUUAAUUCGAAGCUACGCGAAGAACCUUACCAGGUCUUGACAUCUUCUGACAGUCUAAGAGAUUAGAGGUUCCCUUCGGGGACAGAAUGACAGGUGGUGCAUGGUUGUCGUCAGCUCGUGUCGUGAGAUGUUGGGUUAAGUCCCGCAACGAGCGCAACCCUUAUUACUAGUUGCCAGCAUUAAGUUGGGCACUCUAGUGAGACUGCCGGUGACAAACCGGAGGAAGGUGGGGACGACGUCAAAUCAUCAUGCCCCUUAUGACCUGGGCUACACACGUGCUACAAUGGAUGGUACAACGAGUCGCGAGACCGCGAGGUUAAGCUAAUCUCUUAAAACCAUUCUCAGUUCGGACUGUAGGCUGCAACUCGCCUACACGAAGUCGGAAUCGCUAGUAAUCGCGGAUCAGCAUGCCGCGGUGAAUACGUUCCCGGUCCUUGUACACACCGCCCGUCACACCAUGAG